rnacentral:lncRNA from 1 species
AAAUUUCUUUUUAUUCAAUAUUUUAUUAUUUAUGAAUACAACUCAGUUUUUGGUAAAUUAUUUUGUGCUGAAUAGUUCUUUUCUUUUAUUAGUGUAUUAACUUGUCAUUUUGUUAAGCUGUAUAUUUUGUAUGCCAAAAAUGGCUUUAAAAAUUGGAAUAUUUAAUUGAAAGUGCAGUUUUUUUUCAUUUUAGUAAUUUGGAGCCAUUUUUUUUUUCUGAAUAUUACAUGCUAACAUUGUCUUAAAAUUUUGCAAUUAUUUGAUUUUGAAUCGCUUUGUUUAAAGCUACAACCUUUAACAUCUGAUAUUUUUAUUAUCUAGAGCUCUGUAAAAAAAAGAAAAAAAAAUAUAAAAAAGAAAAUACCAAAAAAUAAUAUGAAAGCAAAAUAGAAAACAGAGUUCUAAAUAAUAAACAUUGAGGGUGGUAUAAAAAGUGGGCAUAUAUAAAAUUUCUUUUUAUUCAAUAUUUUAUUAUUUAUGAAUACAACUCAGUUUUUGGUUCUUUUCUUUUAUUAGUGUAUUAACUUGUCAUUUUGUUAAGCUGUAUAUUUUGUAUGCCAAAAAUGGCUUUAAAAAUUGGAAUAUUUAAUUGGAAGUGCAGUUUUUUUUCAUUUUAGUAAUUUGGAGACAUCUAUUUUCUCUGAAUAUUACAUGCUAACAUUGUCUUAAAAUUUUUCAAUUAUUUGAUUUUGAAUCGCUUUGUUUAAAGCUACAAUCUUAAACAUCUGAUAUUUUUAUCAUCUAGAGCUCUGUAAUAAAAAAAAAAAAAUGUGAAAAAAAAUAAAAUAACAAAAAAUAAUAUGAAAACAAAAAUUGUAAACAGAGUUCUAGAUAAUAAACAUUGAGGGUGGUAUAAAAAGUGGGCAUAUUUAAAACUUCAUUUCAUCAAUAUUUGAAUACAACUCACAGUUGUUGGUGAAUUCUUUUGUGCUGAAUUAGUUUUUUCUUUCAUAAGUAUAUUAACUUGUUGUUUUGUCAAGCUGUAUAUUUUGUAUGGCAAAAAUGGCUUUAAAAGUUGGAAUAUUUAAUUGGAAGUGCAAUUCUUUCAAUUUUAGUAAUUUGGAGACAACAUUUAUCUUCCCUGAAUAUUACACGCUAACAUAGUCUUAUUUUGAAUGACUUUGUAUAAACCUAUAACCUAAAACAUCUGAUAUUUUAUUAUCUAGAGCUCUGUAAAAAAAAAAAAAAAAAAAAAAAAAAAAAAACGUAGAAAAAUAACAAAAAAUAAUAUGAAAACAAAAAUUGUAAACAGAGUUCUAGAUAAUAAACAUUAAGGGUGGUGUAAAAAGUAGACAUAUUUUUAAAAAAAAUAUUAUUAUGAAUAGUGCACUGUAUAAUUUGUAAAAUGUUUAUUGUGAAGUCUUGGGAAAUUGUGAAACUUUAGAACUGUGUUGAGAUGUCUAUAUUCAAUCUUCAAUGAUGGUCAGUGCAAUGGAGGACAAUAGAAUAUUGCUCUGUGAAGAAACAUACUUUUUUAUAUCAAGAAAGAUCCAACAACAGUUAUCAAUGAUAUCUAAAGAGACAAAAGACUGAGAAAUACUAAAAGCUCAAAUUAGUAUUCUUUGAGAUUGAUGGAAAUGUACAAACAACUGGCACACUAAAGCUAAAAGUAAUACUAAAUAAAACUAUGAACUUGUAUAAUAACAUUUAUGUUCUAUUGUGAAAGACAUGUUUCUACAUACUGUUCUAUAAUGAAGACACGUUUCUCGUAACAUAAUGGUCUAUAGUGAAAGACAUUUUAUAGUGAAGACACAUUUCUAGAUAAUGUUCUAUGGUGAAAUAAGAUGUUCUAUAGCACAAACAGAUGUUCCUUAGUUGCAAUGAAGUGUUCAGACGACAGACAGUGUUUCCUUUUGCAAUGAAGUAUCCAGAAGAUUUCCAGCUCUUCGUUACAUAUUCUGCUGUUUUCUCAAGAAAAACACAAGGUACUGAUAGUUUAAGUCUGUAAAAAGUUUAAUAUAUGCACACAAUUUAAGAAUUUAAAUGGCCAAACCUGUUAGUGUGGAUUUAUUGUGAUAUUCUAGUUCUAGAUUUAUGAUCCUCUUUGAAUAAUAAUUUAGAUUAAAGUGAUGGAAAUUUCUCCCUUGUAAUAUCAUUUUGAUAGUGUUUUGUAAUUUUUUUCUGUUGAAUAUGAAGAAUUUUGAAUUGUGUAUGACUUGAUAAGAUAAUGAAAAGAAAAGUUAUAUUAAAACUUUCAAUAAAUACUUUUUGGCAAUUCUUUUCCUCAGUUGAAAACAUUGAAAAUGCCUAUAAAAACAAUAGGUUAAUAUUUCAUCAGAAUGUAUUGUAAGGCAGCAUGCUAUUUUGAAUGUUGGUUAUCUGCAUGGUCAGCCUAAACUGAUUUUACGUGUAAAAAAAAUAAUUGAAUGCAAACAAGGGGAAAUAAUAUAUCAAAUUAUUUUAAAAGAAAAAUACCAGUUAGCACUUGAAAAAGCUUAAAAGUAAGAACUGUACCAGGCUUACAUCUUACUGCAAGUUAAAGUUGGCACCAACUACCAAACUGAGGGAAUUCUUUGCAAAAUGGGAAUCUUUUUCCAACCAUUUAUUGAAAAACUAAUAAUGAACAUAUAUAGUAUUGAUAGAAAAAGAAAAAAAUAUAUAUAUUUAACAAUAAUGUCAUAUCUGUGACAUUAAGAUGAUGUGGUAUGAUUGCCAAUUGAGACAUCUAUAUAGCAGUGACCAAAUGAAAUCAAUUAGUUUGACAAUCGCCUUAUUAUAGAAUUUAAAAAAAACAUAUGAAAUCUUAAUUAAAUAGUUUUAAUUUAAAAGAUUAUUUCAAGUCUAAGUAUGUGACUGCCAUUCAUAAAAAUGCAUUAUUUUUAUUCCAGAUUUCAAUGUUCAACCUGAAAGUAGAAAUUCUUAAAAAUUUAUGCUGGACAUCUCAAAUCAUGGAUCCAUCCCAAUACUGGAUAUCUACAGAUAUAAGACUUAUGGAAAAUAUUCUGAUAAAUUAAUGGUAAGUGUUUACAUUAAGGAAUAUAGUGGGUUGAUUGUGGUCCAUUAUGCAUAACACCUGAAUUAAUAUGGAAUUGGAACCAUUUUACAGCACUAUAAUAGAAGCCAGCAUAUGCUUUUUAAUAUUCAAAACUAAACAAAAUCUAUUUUCAAAAUACCUAGUAAUUUCUUGUAAUUGAGUGUCAAUCUGUUUGGCAUUUUUGAUUGGAUUGAUAAAAAAGUACUACUUGGAUAAAUGUGAGAUGUAUUGGUCCAAAUAAUGAGUUCAAAUUGUUUUAAGUGUUUAAGGGUAUUCUCACUGUUUUCAAAAUACUGUAAAAUUCUGAAUAUCCUAGAGCAUGUCAAUAAAUCAGAUAAAAUAUGGGUUCCCAAUUACCAUCUAGACAAUUGUUUUUGCUAUCUUUUACUGAAGAUUUCUUUUGUCUUUUCUAGUUGUCAUUCCAAAACAAUUAAUUUUCAAGGGUAUUUAGCAGAUUAUUAACUGUUAACUUGUGUAUUGCAAUUAAGAUAACAAGUUAUACCAUGUGCCAAGUAGACAAUUGAUGAUUGGUGUAUUGCUCUUUAUCUAUAAAAGUGAAUACAAAAAUUUCGACAUCAUUCACAUUUAUCUGUCUUAAGAUGGUACUGGUACCAAACUGCUUCACUAAAAUUAGUUUGGCUUGUUUAAUUUUCAGAAAAUUUUGUCAAAAUGUUUACUUUGACCAUAUGGCAAAAAUAUAAAGAUUUAAAAAAAACUUGGAACCACACACUUUAUCGUCAAAUUUUCAUUAGACAAAUAGCAGUUUAACUAACAACAAUUUUGAUCAUGGAGAAGCUUAAUAUUUCCUGAACAAUAGGCCGUAAUUAAAACGUUCAGCUGAUUUUUGCAGAGUUAUCUCCCUGUUGUUUUAUGAACCACCUCAAAUGCAUUUCUUUGUCUUUUGGAAUAAAUAAAUAUUGUUAAUCAGAUGAUCCCAAAAACUAUGAAAUAUUUUCUGUGUUUCAGAUGUACGACCAAUUCCUGCCUCAAGUAUCAAACCAGCAAAACUUAUCUUGAUAGGAGUAAAUCAUACCACUGAAUCUCGCUUCGUACAAGGUUGAUAAUCAGCAAAAUUAUUUAAUGGGAGUAAAACAUGGGAGCAGGAUCUCACCUCAUACAAGGUUGGUAUUCGUUAACUUCCAUAGUGAAUCAAUUAUCUGUCCAUCGAUCUGAUGUCGCAAUGUUCUAAUAAAAAUUAGAAGAUGUGGUAUGAUUGCUGAUGAGACAACUCUCUAUCAGAGACAAAAUGAUGAAGAAGUUAACAAAAUAUAUAUCUUUCAUGGUUGGCAACUUUGAGUUCCAAUGAGACAGAGCUGCUUAAAAACUAGCUGUUUCACUGGGUCAACUUAUGAAUAUGAUGUACUGGAAAAUAACCAGUUGAUUAAAGUAACUACUUUUACUGUUCUUUAUCAUAACAGUUGCUGCGGUGUCUUCAGCUAUGUACUGAAAUGCUUAUGCUUAGCAAUAAUGGCAAGACAACCCCUAUUGUCAACUUGAACAUUGUAUGUUCAAUAACGGUAACAUUACUCCAACUGGAGGUAUCAACUGUAUUAGAUAGAAGAAUAUUAGAAGUGAAAGAAAUAAGUCUAGAUGUAUUUUGGUUAUUUUUCUCAUACACUUCACCUCCUUGUAUUCAUAUCUGAAUGGCUGUAUUAAGACUUUAAUAUACUGAGCCUGUUGAGGAACCAAAAUCAGGGGAAACAUUUCUAUGGGGUGUAAUUAAGUAUUAAGAAUAGUACUGAACUGCUCACCAUUGUUGCUGUAAAACCUUCAAAAUUCAAGUACUGUUCCUAUUUUCUUUUAUUAUCCAUUUGAAUUAACUGAUUAAAUUGUUGUUUGUAGGGAGGAGGGACAAUUGAAGUGAUGAACUAAUACACAUCUGAAUGAUGUACACAAGAAAAACAGACCACAUAGAAUAAGGAAAAAAAAAGACCAACUCAUAGAGUAAAGGAUAGAUGAAAUUAGAAAAAAAACCUGAAACUAACCAACAUACCAGCUGACUUACAUUAGAACUGACCCAACUGAUGGACAUAGUCAACUGAUGAUCAUAGAACAAACUUUAACAUAUUAACAUCAUAGUAAAACAAUCAACAUGUCAGCUGCCUUAUCACCAACUAAGAGGUUAGAGCUGACUCAACUGAUGAACAUAGUCAACUGAUGGACAUAGUCAACUGAUAGACAUAAUCAACUGAUGAUCAUAGAACAAACUUUAACAUAUUAACAUCAUGGUAAAACAAUCAACAUGUCAGCUGCCUUAUCACCAACUAAAAGGUUAGAGCUGACUCAACUGAUGAACAUAGUCAACUGAUGAACAUAGUCAACUGAUGAACAUAGUCAACUGAUGAACAUAGUCAAAUAGUCAACUGAUAAACAUAGUCAACUGAUGAACAUAGUCAACUGAUGAACAUAGUCAACUGAUGAACAUAGUCAACUGAUAAACAUAGUCAACUGAUAAACAUAGUCAACUGAUAAACAUAGUCAACUGAUGAACAUAGUCAACUGAUAAACAUAGUCAACUGAUGAACAUAGUCAACUGAUGAACAUAGUCAACUGAUAGACAUAGUCACCUGAUAGACAUAGACAUUUAAUAUAUUAACAGCAUAGUAAAACAAUGAACAUGUCAAUAUUAACAGCAUAGUAAAACAAUGAACAUGUCAAUAUUAACAGCAUAAUAAAACAAUGAACAUGUCGGAGACUAAUAUUCUUGUCAAUUAAAAUAUAUGACUGAAAUUUCAUAAUUGCAUAUGGUCAGUUGGAGAGAGAGAAAUAUGUAGAAUGUUCAAGAGUGGGAAAGGGAGCACACUCAUGUAUGAUGAUGAGAGAGAAGAACUAUUGCAACUUUAAAUUUGUCUUCAACCAAAUACAUGGCUUUUGAUAAGGGACGACAAAACCUAUUGUUCUUUAUUUAUUACAGUCUAAAAGUGUCAUAGAUAAGCACUAUUCUUAUUUUGAAUGUCUUUGCUUAUACCUCUAACCUUAGACAUGCAUCCCAUAUUUUUAUUAUCUAGAGCUCUGUAAAAAAAAAAAAAAAAAAAAAAAAAAAACAUGUAGAAAAAUAACAAAAAAUAAUAUGAAAACAAAAAUUGUAAACAGAGUUCUAGAUAAUAAACAUUAAGGGUGGUGUAAAAAGUGGGCAUAUUUUAAAUUUUCUUUUUUUCAUCAAAUAAUUAUUGAUGAAAUUCAAAACGAGAAUGUUUAAUUGGACGUACAAUUCUUUUGAUUUAAGAUAUUUAGAGACAAAACCUAUUGUUCUUUAUUUAUUGCAGUCUAAAAGUGUCAUAGAUUUGCAUUAUUCUUAUUUUGAAUGUCUUUAUUUUGCUUAUACCUCUAACCUUAGACAUGCAUCCCAUAUUUUUAUUAUCUAGAGCUCUGUAAAAAAAAAAAAAAAAAAAAAAAAACAUGUAGAAAAAUAACAAAAAAAUAAUAUGAAAACAAAAUUUGUAAACAGAGUUCUAGAUAAUAAUAAUAAACAUUAAGGGUGGUGUAAAAAGUGGGCAUAUUUUAAAUUUUCUUUUUUUCAUCAAAUAUAUUUAUGAAAUUCAAAACGAGAAUGUUUAAUUGGACUGUUUAAUUGGACGUACAAUUCUUUUGAUUUUAGAUAUUUAGAGACAAAACCUAUUGUUUUUUAUUUAUUACAGUCUAAAAGUGUCAUAGAUUUGCAUUAUUCUUAUUUUGAAUGUCUUUAUUUUGCUUAUACCUCUAACCUUAGACAUGCAUCCCAUAUUUUUAUUAUCUAGAGCUCUGUAAAAAAAAAAAAAAAAAAAAAACAUGUAGAAAAAUAACAAAAAAUAAUAUGAAAACAAAAUUUGUAAACAGAGUUCUAGAUAAUAAUAAUAAACAUUAAGGGUGGUGUAAAAAGUGGGCAUAUUUUAAAUUUUCUUUUUUUCAUCAAAUAUAUUUAUGAAAUUCAAAACAAGAAUGUUUAAUUGGACUGUUUAAUUGGAUGUACAAUUCUUUUGAUUUUAGAUAUUUAGAGACAAAACCUAUUGUUCUUUAUUUAUUACAGUCUAAAAGUGUCA